GUGGAUCGAACAUUAGUAGAGAAGCGUGUGAGCCAGCUGCCAAGAAAAGCCGCUAUUGUUUCAUAAGUACCCGUACCGUAAACCGACACAGGUGGAUGAGGAGAGAAUCCUAAGGCCGGCGGGAGAAGUGUUGUUAAGGAACUCGGCAAAAUGACUCCGUAACUUCGGGAGAAGGAGUUCCACAGAGAUGUGGCCGCAGAGAAAUGGCCCAAGCAACUGUUUAGCAAAAACACAGGUCUAUGCAAAACCGAAAGGUGAGGUAUAUGGGCUGACGCCUGCCCGGUGCUGGAAGGUUAAGAGGAGAGGUUAGAGCAAUCGAAGCUUUGAAUUUAAGCCCCAGUAAACGGCGGCCGUAACAAUAACGGUCCUAAGGUAGCGAAAUUCCUUGUCGGGUAAGUUCCGACCCGCACGAAAGGCGUAAUGAUUUGGGCACUGUCUCAACAACACACCCGGUGAAAUUGAAAUACCAGUGAAGAUGCUGGUUACCUGCGCCAGGACGGAAAGACCCCAUGGAGCUUUACUCCAGUUUGAUACUGGGAUUCGGUACUGUCUGUACAGGAUAGGUGGGAGGCUAGGAAAUGGUGACGCCAGUUGCCAUGGAGCCAACCUUGGGAUACCACCCUUACAGUACUGGGUUUCUAACCUGCAGCCGUAACCCGGCUGGGGGACAAUGUCUGACGGGGAGUUUGACUGGGGCGGUCGCCUCCGAAAGAGUAUCGGAGGCGCUCAAAGGUUCCCUCAGAACGGUUGGAAACCGUUCGAAGAGUGCAAAGGCAGAAGGGAGCUUGACUGCGACACCGACGGGUGGAGCAGAUACGAAAGUAGGACUUAGUGAUCCGGUGGUAUAAAGUGGGAUUGCCAUCGCUCAACGGAUAAAAGCUACCCUGGGAUAACAGGCUUAUCACUCCCAAGAGUUCACAUCGACGGAGUGGUUUGGCACCUCGAUGUCGGCUCAUCGCAUCCUGGAGCUGUAGCAGGUUCCAAGGGUUGGGCUGUUCGCCCAUUAAAGCGGUACGCGAGCUGGGUUCAGAACGUCGUGAGACAGUUCGGUCCCUAUCCGGCGUGGGCGUAGGAUAUUUGAGAGGAGCUGUCCUUAGUACGAGAGGACCGGGAUGGACAAACCUCUGGUGUAUCUGUUGUUUUACCAAAGGCAUGGCAGAGUAGCCAAGUUUGGCAGGGAUAAACGCUGAAGGCAUCUAAGCGUGAAGCCCCCCUCAAGAUAAGAUAUCCCAUCUUCGGAGUAAGACCCCUUGAAGACUACAAGGUUGAUAGGCUUCAGGUGUAAGUGUGUAACGCACUCAGCUGAGAAGUACUAAUAGGUCGAGGACUUACC
rnacentral:rRNA from 1 species